GACGAACGCUGGCGGCGUGCUUAACACAUGCAAGUCGAACGGGAAGGCCUUGCUUUUGUGGGGUGCUCGAGUGGCGAACGGGUGAGUAACACGUGAGUAACCUGACCUUGACUUUGGGCUAACUUCAGGAAACUGGGGCUAAUACCGGAUAGGAGCUCCUGCUGCAUGGGGGGGGCUGGAAAGUUUCGGCGGAUGGGGAUGGACUCGCGGCUUAUCAGCCUGUUGGUGGGGUAGUGGCUUACCAAGGCUUUGACGGGUAGCCGGCCUGAGAGGGGGACGGGCCGCAAUGGGGCGGAUGUGAGGCCGAGACGACUCCGGGGGGAAGCAGUGGUGAAGAAUGCACAAUGAGCGGAGACAGGAUGAAGCAGCAACGCGUGCGGGAUGAAGGAGUUCGGGGUGUAGACCGCUUUCGCCUGUGAAGAAGAGUGAGUGACGGUAAUGGGUAAAGAAGCACCGGCUAACUACGUG
rnacentral:rRNA from 1 species